GAUGAACGCUAGCGGCAGGCCUAACACAUGCAAGUCGAGGGAGGAGCCUUCGGGCUUCGACCGGCGUACGGGUGCGUAACGCGUAUACAAUCUGCCUUUCACAUAGGGAUAGCCCGAAGAAAUUUGGAUUAAUACCUAAUGGUAUAUAGAUGUGGCAUCACCUUUAUAUUAAAGCUGAGGCGGUGAAAGAUGAGUAUGCGUUCUAUUAGCUAGUUGGAGCGGUAACGGCUCCCCAAGGCGACGAUAGAUAGGGGUUCUGAGAGGGAUAUCCCCCACACUGGUACUGAGAUACGGACCAGACUCCUACGGGCGGCAGCAGUGAGGAAUAUUGGACAAUGGUCGGAAGACUGAUCCAGCCAUGCCGCGUGCAGGAAGACGGCCUUAUGGGUUGUAAACUGCUUUUGCAGGGGAAGAAUAAGGACUACGCGUAGUUUGAUGACGGUACUCAGCGAAUAAGCAUCGGCUAACUCCGUG
rnacentral:rRNA from 1 species